AUUUCUUACUGUGAUGUAACUUCCUGCCAUGAUGUUCUCACAUAAAGUGAGGAUUUGGAAAUACACACAUUCCUGACUGAACUGUUCCUGUGGCAGCAUGUACGUUUCGAAAAGGGUUUGGUGUGAGGAGUGGGGUUUGGUGUGAGAAGAAGAGAUACUGCAGAUGAUCUUCUCCAACAAUACCACCGCCCGCCUGCCAGACCAUCUCACAAGACCUCCUCCCCUUCAUUACUUCCAUUAUAAGGGACUCCAUGACAUGACAUUACAUGGAGGCGAUCCACACCUUCUAUGCAGACUCUCCACUGGUGGAUUCUCUUCUGUUCUCCUUCCAUGUCUGCUCUCUCAGCCAUCCCCAGCAGCGGCGAGUGAUCCUCAGUUGAACAAGGGACCAAGUAGAACAUCAGGACAGAUCAGGCAGGACCAGAGUAAUGUCACUGGAAUUAACACUGAUUUAGAGGUGAAUCAAUCAUUGGGGAA
ensembl:lncRNA